CCUCAGAUGAGCGAUGACGUCACGACACUCCAUAGAGCUGCAAGGCUCUUGUGCAAAAUAUUGUAUGCCUCCGGAACCUGCGACGACGCUCAGCUCCAUCGGCCCUCCGUCUGCGCCUUCGGAUCCACCAGCUCUGUCUCCAUCGGUCGGCCCCCAGAUGUACACCAUCUACAUCUUGGCUCCUCGCUCCCUCGACUCCGCCGUGUGUCAUCAGCACUGGGAUGCUCUGGGUCUGUGCCAUGUGCCAAACUCCAUCUAAUCCGCCUCUGACCAUCCGUACACCAUCUCCUCGUCCACCUCCAAAACCCCCUCCAUCCCUCCCUAUUCUGUUGCUUGAACUUUAUCAUCAUCAGUUUUUGCACACACACAUCUAUUCACUUCUGCACUUUGUUUUUCUGUAAUUUUUUCUGUAUUUUUUUUCUUCAAAAAACUGCAUUGUAAUUUUUAUUUAUUUACUGAUGUAAAAUUCUGUACUUUUUAAACAGUUAUAUUAUGUAGAGCGAUCGUGUAUUUUUAGAGCACUUGGAGGAAACCGCGCAAUUCAUAUGGAUUACUUUGGCCAUGUUUUUUCUUUUUUUUGCGAUUAACUUUUUGAAACGUGAACAUCUUUGGUGAAUCGUCUUUCAUCGGAGGGACAUAAAGAUUCUAUUAAAAUAUCUCAGCUUUUCUUUCGAAGAUGAACGAAAGUCUUAGAUGGUUUGAAGCAUCUUAAGGGUGAGUGAUGACAGAAUUCAAAUUGUUUUGGGGGAACUAUGAAAUUAAUGUUUUUAUUUUUACCAGCUUUUGCAAACGUGUAUGGCGUCUGGCUUUUGGAACCUCACUGUGACUGACUUCAGAAAGCUGCUAGAAUUAACAGGGAACUCAGUGCUGAUCUUGAAGAAGCUGCCAAGGAGGCUGAACAAGUCCUUUAAUGAUUCGACUCUUCAUACUGAAAGGGAAGACCAAAGGAAGGCCUGUCCUGGGAUGUGAUUUUGGCCGUAUUCUGCAUUUACGGAGAAGACCCAGAGCUGCAAAGGCAAAUAGUGUAAACUGAGAGUUUGCAUGAUGGCCUUUUCUCAGACUCUGAAUCUGAUGUGUACAGAUGAACUCAGGAGCCCGCUAGAGCUGCCAGGGAACUUGAGCUUGAAGUUUACUAUUAUAACUGCUUAAUUUAUGAUUAAACAACAGUAAUAAUUAAACAUGGGGUCGAUUAGAUAUUUUCUUGUUUUACAGCUGAAGACCAAAAAUGCAAAGAAAAUCAGUCACAGCAAGUCAACAGGCAAACCAGUCCUGAUGAAUGAGGCAUGAACAUGGUCUUCUUCUGCCCAAACAGAAAAGACAGAGCUGGAAAGUUGCACAUUUCCACUGAUCCUAGAAUGAGCAAAUCAGCUGUGCACCAUCUCUGGGAUUUAGGCAGGAAAUGACUGAAUAUGGAGGAUGAAGCCAGUUGAUGAAGAUAUCAAUUCAAUGGCCACCAAGUGAAGCACUGCUGCCUGAACCCAUCAGAUAUCUGCUGUGAAGACUGCAUUCCUAAACAGCUCUACUGCGACAGCUCAGAUGUUACGGCCCAUAAAAGAAACAAGAUAGUGGUGGAGGGAUUCUUUUGGCCCAUACCUCCAACAAGAAUCAAUGGACAUAAAGACCAGGUGGUGUGUGAGAAAAACAUGGAGGACUGUCAGAGACUCCAGCCACCCGAGCCAUGGAUUGCUCUCACCGUUACCAUCAGGCAGAUGUUAUCGCAGAACCUUCACCAGCAGACUGCGAGACAAGUUCUUUCCACAGACAAUCAGACUGAACUGAACUCGUACCAUUAACACCACACACAGCACACCAACCUCUUAUGCACUGCACUCUAUCACUUACACUGACUGGACUCUGACUCACUAUUAUUCUGCAUCCUGACAAUCUGUUUGCACUAAUUCAUACUGUACUGCACUGCAAAGGUAUAUGUGUACUGUGAUUUAUUGUUUUCAUUUCAUGCUGUCUGUAUAGUAUAAUAUUUACUAUAUGGUGUUCUCUAUCUGUAUUGAGUCCUUUAUAUGCGUGUGUUGCAUAUAUAUUCACUAUUUGUCAUCCAUAAUGUCAUGCUGCAGUUUGCACAAAAGACUUUCACCACCUGUACACUUGUGUUCACGGUAUUGUGACAAUAAAGUAUUUGAUUUGAAUUGGUCACGUCUUUUGUACUGUAGGGUGCUGGUUAACAAUUGCAAAUUGUUUAUGACAUGGAAGAAGUUUAUGAUAGGGACAUGGACAAGCAAGCAAUAGGAAGAAAACCUGGAGAGCUCUGAUGAUAAGGAAGCUGAAUGUGAUUCUAUGAUGCUCAAGACAUUUCACCAUGCUUGCAUUUGGGUGGCUUCAUCUGAUUAAAAUAACAUGGUUUAAACAUAACCCAUUUUUAUUUCUCUUGAAUAUGAUUUGUCUUUAUAUGCUACUUUAGCUGUCUUUAUGAUGGAUUCUCCAGUAAAGUAUUGCACAU